AGACAAGGUGUUGAAGGGAAGGCACACAGGUGAGGAGCCCACAGAAGGUUAGGGACCCCAGGGAGGCUGGAGAACCACGCUUGGGAAGCACAGGGCAGGGCAGCUCCAGGUGGGAGAGGCACAGGACCCCAAUUGUUCUUCAGGCUUGAGCCAGUCUGCUCAAGAUUCCAAGCCCUGGCAGGAGAGGAGCUUGGCUCACAUGCUCACCUCUCCGCUGCAGGAGGCAACAGGUGGGAGACCCCUGAUGGGAAGCCUCUGACGUGGGGGAGAAGGGAUUAUCCAAAAUGGAAACUGAGGCACUGUCUCCAAAGAAGAGGUGCCCCACAUCAACCACCACUCACUGCAGCCUCUCCUUGGCUUCCACAGCCCUAGUCUUCCCUUUGCUCCACCCACCUGCUUGCCCCAUGGACUUCCUUGAUCUUUCCAAAAAGUCGAUUUUGUUGUUUCUUUGCUUAGAAUCCUUUCUCAGCUUCCCAUGGCUUCCCAUGUAGCCCAAAAUAUGCACGAUGUCACUUGUUGUCCAUCCUUCCCAUCCACACUAUUUUUUUUUUUUUUUUUUUUUUUGACACAGAGUCUCUAUUGCCCAGGCUGGAGUGCACUGGCUCCAUGUCAGCUAUUACCUCCGCCUCCCGGGUUCAAGCAAUUCUCCUGCCUCAGCCUCCCGAGUAGCUGGGACUACAGGCACCCACCACCACACUCGGCUGAUUUUUUGUAUUUUUAGUAGAGGCAGAGUUUCACCGUGUUGGCCAGGCUGGUCUUGAACUCCUGAUCUCAGGUGAUCCACCCGCCUCAGCCUGCCAAAGUGCUGGGAUUACAUGCUUGAGCCACUGCGCCCAGCCCCCAUCCACACCUUUGUUCCACUUCCCAAGCUCCUUGCCAUUUAUUUUGAGUUCCUUCCUGCCUCAAUGACCAACCGGGCAGCCUUUAGGGGUGGAGUAGCCAGAUGGUUUCCUGAGGCUCAAAUUCCAUAGGGCACAUUUAAAAAACCCUCUGGAAAUGUAAAGAGAUGGCAAAAAUUCUGUUACUAGAAUUCCACUCAAGAGCAGUACUAUUUUUGACUAGAAAAGUACUUUACGCCACUCCCUCCCCACCUAAAGGACAAACAGGAAGGCCUCGAGGCUGCCUUCUGAAGACAGUGGGCUUGGCUCCUGCAAGCUGCCGAGGUCCUGCCAUGAGGCCUGAGCAUUCGAGGGCACUUGAAACAGGAAAGGGGGCUGAGGGUCUCCUUCUUCACAUGUCCAUUACGCAUAACUUGGUUUCUCCUUCAGAUAAAUUAUUUUUAUCAUGGGCAACAUAGCGAGAUCUCAUCUCUUCUGAAAAUAAAAAUAAAAAAUUAGCCAGGUGUAGUGAUACGUGUCUAGAGUCCCAGCUACUCAGGAGGCUGAGGCAGGAGAAUCACUUGAGCCCAGGAGUUAAGGCUGCAGUGAGCUAUGAUCACACCACCGCACUCCAGCCUGGGUCAAAGAGGUAAGAAUAAAGUCACAGCCCUUGUAGCACUGUGGCAAAUGCCUUCCCUCCACCCAUUUCCCUUAGUAUUUUCUUCCCAAACUCAGUUGUCCCCUUUGGGCAGCUCCCGACAGCCGCUGGUCCAGCAGUGCCUCUGUGCAACCCCUCACACCUCUGACCCCGCUUCUUCAGUCGUCUCCUGUUUGUCUGCUUCCUCUGGGAACCUGAAGACUCUGGAUGGCAGGAACGAGCUGUUAUUUGACUAUUUUCACCCCUGGCCAUGUGCUCAGCACAUCAGCACAUGCUUGAUGGAGGUGCAGGUGCAUAUUUGCUUUCUGUUGUUGGAAAAAACUUGGACCUCAUUUUGAGAAUAUCAGUUUUCCCCAGAGAAAAACCUUAAUGACUUGUUUGGGGUUACUUUUGAUUCCAAAGGAGAUUUCAGAGACCUUUGUGUAAAAAAUAAGGUAGGACGGAUCUUCCUACAAAGCUCAACCCAACCUGAAAAAAAAAAAAAAAA
rnacentral:lncRNA from 1 species